UACGGAGGAUGCAAGCGUUAUCCGGAUUUAUUGGGUUUAAAGGGUGCGUAGGCGGAAUAUUAAGUCAGUGAUGAAAUCCUGCAGCUUAACUGUAGAACUGUCAUUGAUACUGAUAUUCUUGAAUGUAGUUGAGGUGGGCGGAAUAUGUAAUGUAGCGGUGAAAUGCUUAGAUAUUACAUAGAACACCGAUUGCGAAGGCAGCUCACUAAACUAUGAUUGACGCUGAGGCACGAAAGCGUGGGGAGCGAACAGG
rnacentral:rRNA from 1 species